rnacentral:rRNA from 1 species
CUAAGAGCGAAUGGUGGAUGCCUUGACUGGUAAAGGCGAUGAAGGACGUACUAGACUGCGAUAAGCUACGGGGAGCUGUCAAGAAGCUUUGAUCCGUAGAUUUCCGAAUGGGGCAACCCAAUGUAUAGAGAUAUACAUUACCUAUAUAGGAGCGAACGAGGGGAAUUGAAACAUCUUAGUACCCUCAGGAAAAGAAAUCAAUAGAGAUUGCGUCAGUAGCGGCGAGCGAAAGCGCAAGAGGGCAAACCCAGUGCUUGCACUGGGGGUUGUAGGACUGCAAUGUGCAAGAGGUAAGUUUAGCAGAACAUUCUGGAAAGUAUAACCAUAGAGGGUGAUAGUCCCGUAUGCGAAAAACAAACCUUAGCUAGCAGUAUCCUGAGUAGGGCGGGACACGAGGAAUCCUGUCUGAAUCCGGGUCGACCACGAUCCAACCCUAAAUACUAAUACCAGAUCGAUAGUGCACAAGUACCGUGAGGGAAAGGUGAAAAGAACUGAGGUGAUCAGAGUGAAAUAGAACCUGAAACCAUUUGCUUACAAUCAUUCAGAGCCCUAUGUAGCAAUACAGGGUGAUGGACUGCCUUUUGCAUAAUGAGCCUGCGAGUUGUGGUGUCUGGCAAGGUUAAGCAAACGCGAAGCCGUAGCGAAAGCGAGUCUGAAUAGGGCGCUUAGUCAGAUGCUGCAGACCCGAAACGAAGUGAUCUAUCCAUGAGCAAGUUGAAGCUAGUGUAAGAACUAGUGGAGGACUGAACCCAUAGGCGUUGAAAAGCCCCGGGAUGACUUGUGGAUAGGGGUGAAAGGCCAAUCAAACUUCGUGAUAGCUGGUUCUCUCCGAAAUAUAUUUAGGUAUAGCGUUGUGUCGUAAUAUAAGGGGGUAGAGCACUGAAUGGGCUAGGGCAUACACCAAUGUACCAAACCCUAUCAAACUCCGAAUACCUUAUAUGUAAUCACAGCAGUCAGGCGGCGAGUGAUAAAAUCCGUCGUCAAGAGGGAAACAACCCAGACUACCAGCUAAGGUCCCUAAAUCUUACUUAAGUGGAAAACGAUGUGAAGUUACUUAAACAACCAGGAGGUUGGCUUAGAAGCAGCCAUCCUUUAAAGAAAGCGUAAUAGCUCACUGGUCUAGUGAUUUUGCGCGGAAAAUAUAACGGGGCUAAAGUAAGUACCGAAGCUGUAGACUUGCACACAACUUAGAUUAUUUAAGUUUAGAAUAUGAGAAACUAAGUUAUAUGUUUAGUUAUAUUUUUACUGAUUUUUAUAGAGUAAAGAUAGAAAUAAAACUUAGUAAAAUCAGUAAAAAUAUUCUUAGACUAAAGUUAAGUAGUUUAAGUUGUGUGCAAGUGGUAGGAGAGCGUUCUAUUUGCGUCGAAGGUAUACCGGUAAGGAGUGCUGGAGCGAAUAGAAGUGAGCAUGCAGGCAUGAGUAGCGAUAAUUAAUGUGAGAAUCAUUAACGCCGUAAACCCAAGGUUUCCUACGCGAUGCUCGUCAUCGUAGGGUUAGUCGGGUCCUAAGUCGAGUCCGAAAGGGGUAGACGAUGGCAAAUUGGUUAAUAUUCCAAUACCAACAUUAGUGUGCGAUGGAAGGACGCUUAGGGCUAAGGGGGCUAGCGGAUGGAAGUGCUAGUCUAAGGUCGUAGGAGGUUAUACAGGCAAAUCCGUAUAACAAUACUCCGAGAACUGAAAGGCUUUUUGAAGUCUUCGGAUGGAUAGAAGAACCCCUGAUGCCGUCGAGCCAAGAAAAGUUUCUAAGUUUAGCUAAUGUUGCCCGUACCGUAAACCGACACAGGUGGGUGGGAUGAGUAUUCUAAGGCGCGUGGAAGAACUCUCUUUAAGGAACUCUGCAAAAUAGCACCGUAUCUUCGGUAUAAGGUGUGGUUAGCUUUGUAUUAGGAUUUACUCCGAAAGCAAGGAAACUUACAACAAAGAGUCCCUCCCGACUGUUUACCAAAAACACAGCACUCUGCUAACUCGUAAGAGGAUGUAUAGGGUGUGACGCCUGCCCGGUGCUCGAAGGUUAAUUGAUGGGGUUAGCAUUAGCGAAGCUCUUGAUCGAAGCCCGAGUAAACGGCGGCCGUAACUAUAACGGUCCUAAGGUAGCGAAAUUCCUUGUCGGUUAAAUACCGACCUGCAUGAAUGGCGUAACGAGAUGGGAGCUGUCUCAAAGAGGGAUCCAGUGAAAUUGUAGUGGAGGUGAAAAUUCCUCCUACCCGCGGCAAGACGGAAAGACCCCGUGGACCUUUACUACAGCUUGACACUGCUACUUGGAUAAGAAUGUGCAGGAUAGGUGGGAGGCUUUGAGUAUAUGACGCCAGUUGUAUAUGAGCCAUUGUUGAGAUACCACUCUUUCUUAUUUGGGUAGCUAACCAGCUUGAGUUAUCCUCAAGUGGGACAAUGUCUGGUGGGUAGUUUGACUGGGGCGGUCGCCUCCCAAAUAAUAACGGAGGCUUACAAAGGUUGGCUCAGAACGGUUGGAAAUCGUUCGUAGAGUAUAAAGGUAUAAGCCAGCUUAACUGCAAGACAUACAAGUCAAGCAGAGACGAAAGUCGGUCUUAGUGAUCCGGUGGUUCUGUGUGGAAGGGCCAUCGCUCAAAGGAUAAAAGGUACCCCGGGGAUAACAGGCUGAUCUCCCCCAAGAGCUCACAUCGACGGGGAGGUUUGGCACCUCGAUGUCGGCUCAUCGCAUCCUGGGGCUGGAGCAGGUCCCAAGGGUAUGGCUGUUCGCCAUUUAAAGCGGUACGCGAGCUGGGUUCAGAACGUCGUGAGACAGUUCGGUCCCUAUCUGCCGUGGGCGUAAGAAGAUUGAAGAGAUUUGACCCUAGUACGAGAGGACCGGGUUGAACAAACCACUGGUGUAGCUGUUGUUCUGCCAAGAGCAUCGCAGCGUAGCUAAGUUUGGAAAGGAUAAACGCUGAAAGCAUCUAAGCGUGAAGCCAACUCUAAGAUGAAUCUUCUCUAAGCUCUCUAGAAGACUACUAGUUUGAUAGGCUGGGUGUGUAAUGGAUGAAAGUCCUUUAGCUGACCAGUACUAAUAGAGCGUUUGGCUUAUCUUUA